rnacentral:rRNA from 1 species
UACGUAGGGUGCAAGCGUUAAUCGGAAUUACUGGGCGUAAAGCGUGUGUAGGCGGUCCGCUAAGUCGGGUGUGAAAGCCCUGGGCUCAACCCAGGAAGUGCACUCGAAACUGGCGGGCUAGAGUAUCGGAGAGGUUGGUGGAAUUCUCGGUGUAGAGGUGAAAUUCGUAGAUAUCGAGAGGAACACCGGUGGCGAAGGCGGCCAACUGGACGAAUACUGACGCUGAGACACGAAAGCGUGGGGAGCAAACAGG